GACGAACGCUGGCGGCGUGCCUAAUACAUGCAAGUAGAACGCAGUUGCGAACGGGUGAGUAACGCGUAGGUAACUGCCUCAUAGCGGGGGAUAACUAUUGGAAACGAUAGCUAAUACCGCAUACUGUGAGAUGGACCUGCGUUGUAUUAGGUAGUUGGUGAGGUAAAGGCUCACCAAGGCGACGAUACAUAGCCGACCGGAGAGGGGUAUCGGCCACAAUUGGACGUGGAAACGGCCCAGACUCCUACGGGAGGCAGCAGGAGGGAAUCUUAGGCAAUGGACGGAAGUCUGACCGAGCAACGCCGGGGUAGUGAAGAAGGUUUUCGGAUCGGAAAGCUCUGUUGUUAGAGAAGCGUUAACUAACCAGAAAGGGACGGCUAACUACGUGCCAGCAGCCGCGGUAAUUC
rnacentral:rRNA from 1 species